rnacentral:rRNA from 1 species
UGAUGGAAUUUUCCGCAAUGGGCGAAAGCCUGACGGAGCGACGCCGCGUGCGUGAUGAAGGCCUUCGGGUCGUAAAGCGCUGUCGGAGGGGACGAACCCCCGCGGGAUUAAUACCCCCGCGGACUGACGGUACCCUCCAAGGAAGCCCCGGCUAACUCCGUGCCAGCAGCCGCGGUAAUACGGGGGGGGCAAGCGUUGCUCGGAAUUAUUGGGCGUAAAGGGCGCGUAGGCGGCCUGCUAAGUUGGUUGUGAAAUCCCCCGGCUCAACCGGGGAACUGCGACCAAUACUGGUGGGCUUGAGUGCAGGAGGGGAGAGCGGAAUUCCCAGUGUAGCGGUGAAAUGCGUAGAUAUUGGGAGGAACACCUGUGGCGAAGGCGGCUCUCUGGACUGCAACUGACGCUGAUGCGCGAAAGCUAGGGGAGCAAACAGGAUUAGAUACCCUGGUAGUCCUAGCUGUAAACGAUGGGCACUUGGUGUGGCGGGUGUCGAUCCCCGCCGUGCCGAAGCUAACGCGUUAAGUGCCCCGCCUGGGAGACGG